UACGGGGGGAGCAAGCGUUGUCCGGAAUUACUGGGCGUAAAGGGCGUGUAGGUGGUUAAAUAAGUCAGAUGUGAAAGCUUCCGGCUUAACCGGAAAACUGCAUUUGAAACUGUUUAGCUUGAGUGCGAGAGAGGGUAGCGGAAUUCCCAGUGUAGCGGUGAAAUGCGUAGAUAUUGGGAAGAACACCAGUAGCGAAGGCGGCUACCUGGCUCGCAACUGACGCUAAUGCGCGAAAGCGUGGGGAGCAAACAGGAUUAGAUACCCGCGUA
rnacentral:rRNA from 1 species